UAAUGUCUGGGAAACUGCCUGAUGGAGGGGGAUAACUACUGGAAACGGUAGCUAAUACCGCAUAACGUCGCAAGACCAAAGAGGGGGACCUUCGGGCCUCUUGCCAUCGGAUGUGCCCAGAUGGGAUUAGCUAGUAGGUGGGGUAACGGCUCACCUAGGCGACGAUCCCUAGCUGGUCUGAGAGGAUGACCAGCCACACUGGAACUGAGACACGGUCCAGACUCCUACGGGAGGCAGCAUG
rnacentral:rRNA from 1 species